rnacentral:rRNA from 1 species
GGCGAACGCUGGCGGCGUGCUUAACACAUGCAAGUCGAACGGAAAGGCCCUGCUUUUGUGGGGUGCUCGAGUGGCGAACGGGUGAGAAACACGUGAGUAACCUGCCCUUGACUUUGGGAUAACUUCAGGAAACCGGGGCUAAUACCGGAUAGGGAGCUCCUGUUGCAUUGGGUGGGGGUUGGGAAAGUUUCGGCGGUUGGGGAUGGACUUCGCGGCUUAUCAGCUUGUUGGUGGGGUAGUGGCUUUACCAAGGCUUUGACGGGUAGCCGGCCUGAGAGGGUGACCGGCCACAUUGGGGCUGAGAUACGCCCCAGACUCGUACGGGAGGCAGCAGUGGGGAAUAUUGCACAAUGGGCGGAAGCCUGAUGCAGCAACGCCGCGUGCGGGAUGAUGGCCUUCGGGUCGUAAACCGCUUUCGCCUGUGACGAAGCGUGAGUGACGGUAAUGGGUAAAGAAGCACCGGCUAACUACGUGCCAGCAGCCGCGGUGAUACGUAGGGUGUGAGCGUUGUCCGGAUUUAUUGGGCGUAAAGGGCUCGUAGGUGGUUGAUCGCGUCGGAAGUGUAAUCUUGGGGCUUAACCCUGAGCGUGCUUUCGAUACGGGUUGACUUGAGGAAGGUAGGGGAGAAUGGAAUUCCUGGUGGAGCGGUGGAAUGCGCAGAUAUCAGGAGGAACACCAGUGGCGAAGGCGGUUCUUUGGGCCUUUCCUGACGCUGAGGAGCGAAAGCGUGGGGAGCGAACAGGCUUAGAUACCCUGGUAGUCCACGCU